rnacentral:rRNA from 1 species
AUCAGUGGCUACAGAACGAACGCUGGCGGCAUGCCUAACACAUGCAAGUCGAACGAGACCUUCGGGUCUAGUGGCGCACGGGUGCGUAACGCGUGGGAACCUGCCUUUAGGUUCGGAAUAACUCAGAGAAAUUUGAGCUAAUACCGGAUAAUGUCUUCGGACCAAAGAUUUAUCGCCUUUAGAUGGGCCCGCGUUGGAUUAGCUAGUUGGUGGGGUAAAGGCCUACCAAGGCGACGAUCCAUAGCUGGUCUGAGAGGAUGAUCAGCCACACUGGGACUGAGACACGGCCCAGACUCCUACGGGAGGCAGCAGUGGGGAAUAUUGGACAAUGGGCGAAAGCCUGAUCCAGCAAUGCCGCGUGAGUGAUGAAGGCCUUAGGGUUGUAAAGCUCUUUUACCCGAGAUGAUAAUGACAGUAUCGGGAGAAUAAGCUCCGGCUAACUCCGUG